GUAGUCAACAAAGAAUGAGUUUCUGAUGCCACUGUUUUUCCUUUUUGUUGACCACAUGCUGCUUUUUUCUUAUUAACUCCUAUUUGUAUCCGCCCAAACCCCUUGUUGGUUUGGGCUUUUUUUU
rnacentral:antisense_RNA from 1 species